GUCCUAGCCCUAAACGAUGAAUACUUGGUGUCUGGAGUUUUUAUCCUCCGGGUGCCGUCGCUAACGUUUUAAGUAUUCCGCCUGGGGAGUACGCACGCAAGUGUGAAACUCAAAGGAAUUGACGGGGACCCGCACAAGCGGUGGAGCAUGUGGUUUAAUUCGACGCAACGCGAAGAACCUUACCUGUACUAGAAUGUGAGGGAAGGACUUCUAAUAGAGUCCGUCCGGGCAACCGGACCCGAAACAAGGUGCUGCAUGGCUGUCGU
rnacentral:rRNA from 1 species